AGGAAUCACGCUCGCUCUCUUCCUCCCCCCGGGUCGGAAUCCGGCACAUGACAGCAGCUACACCGCGCGGCUCCAACGCCAGCGGGGCUCCAGCCGUUCGCCCCUCGGUACCCCCUCCCCGCCGGAGCGCCAAGGCUACGGCUCCCCACGGGGCGGGGCACCCGGCAGGGAAGGGGCAAACCUCGGGAGCGGCGAGAUCGUGGAGUGCGGUCCUCGACAGAGAAGGGGGGACAAGGAUGAGCGCGGACGCCCGGCUGCCCCUGGCGCAGGGAGGAGCGAGGGGCUAAUUGUUUGGGGUGGUUUUUCCCGGAUUUGCCUGUAAGGACGCAGUCCUCCUCCCGGGUCCCCGAAUCGAGCGGCAAGCUGAGAUGAAGAAACUGAGGCCCAGAGUGUCUAUAUGAUUGGUGAUUUGCCCAAGGUCAUGAAACCAACUAAUCACUAUGUACCACUGAAAAAGGCUACAGGAUUUCUCCACACAGAACAAGGCUUGAUUAUGAAUGGACAGGAAAACCUCUAGUAAUGCAGUUAUUUUCUUAUGUUUCUAAAAUCCAGUGCCUUUCCUGGUGAUGAUGACCACAGAAAACAGUAGAGACAAUAAUGACAAUGAUGUUCAAGAACAAAAAAGGAAUCGAAUAUAACCAAAUGUUCAGCUAUAAUCUCCAUAUGUAAAAAAACAUCAAUAUUUGAACAUUUUAUUUCAUAGAGAACUAAAUUUGGCUGUGAUUAUUCAUAUAAAGGAAUUACUACUUUAGAGAAGGCUUCACUGAAUUAUCCUCUUCUGAUGAGGUUCUCCCAUUCAUUUAAAAUAGGAAUUAAUUUAUAAUGAUGCAAUGAAUAUAUAGCUCCCCCACACCCCUCUGUCCCACAGCACGAAGCCCAGUCAGGCUGCUGAAGUGGCUGUGACCACGGGGUGAUGAGAGUGGGGGUGUCUGCUCACCUCAGCACUCGAGCGUCCCAACUACACAAGGAUUUGUAGGCUCAUCUGUCAAACCACUAUUACCAAUCUUGGUGAAAAUUAUGAAGUGCCAGAAAAAUGCCAAAGAACUAAACAAAACUGCUUCACGU